rnacentral:rRNA from 1 species
UGGGGAAUCUUGCACAAUGGGGGAAACCCUGAUGCAGCGACGCCGCGUGAGCGAUGAAGGUUUUCGAAUCGUAAAGCUCUGUCCUAUGGGAAGAUAAUGACGGUACCAUGGGAGGAAGCCCCGGCUAACUACGUGCCAGCAGCCGCGGUAAUACGUAGGGGGCGAGCGUUGACCGGAAUUACUGGGCGUAAAGGGUUCGCAGGCGGCAUGGCAAGUCCGAUGUAAAAGGCGAAGGCUCAACCUUCGUAAGCAUCGGAAACUGUCAAGCUUGAGUGAAGGAGAGGCAAGUGGAAUUCCUAGUGUAGCGGUGGAAUGCGUAGAUAUUAGGAGGAAUACCGGUGGCGAAGGCGACUUGCUGGACUUCAACUGACGCUGAGGAACGAAAGCGUGGGUAGCAAACAGG